rnacentral:lncRNA from 1 species
CACGGAGUACGGUGAAUCAGAAGCCAUUUUAGUUUGUGGAAGUUUUUUUGACUCUCGGAUUAAUAAUCUGGGACUCGAUCGGUAGUAAAAGCCGAAAACCUAUGUGUAAUAUUAAAGAAUUGAAGGACCUUGAUGGAGAAUCUUAGGUGAUAUGUGGCUUGAUCUAUGUCAGGACUUUGUUUUCAGAAUUAGAACCAGUGAUUUGUAUAUUUCUUCCUUUUGUUUGUGAUAGCUUAGGCAUAUAAAUAAUUAUGGAUUACUUAGCAAAAAAAUUGGCUCGCACCCUCUAACCAUUCUUUUCCUAGGAAGGUAAUUUGAUAUGAUACGACGCAUCUGCCCAAACUCCACCCC